rnacentral:rRNA from 1 species
AGGUGGACUCUUCUAUGCUGGCGGGUAGCGAUCGGCCCGUGGUCCUUUAACUAGUCGGUGAGCGUUCGGCUCGCCGGUGCCGCGAUGGGUCGCCGGGCUGACAGGGUGUACGGGCACUCUGGCGCUGAGACGACGGCCUGGCCCCUAUGGGAGGCGCAGGCUCCGAAUAGUACGCAAUGGGCGAAAGCCUGAUGACGCGACCCCGCGUCAGCGACGAAGACCUUCGGUUUGUAACGCUCUGUCACGAGGGAAGAACGCUCUACGGGUUUAUAGCCCGUGGAAUGGCCGGUACCUCCCGAGGAAGCCCCGGCUCAAUACAUGCCAGCGGUCGCUGCAAUCCGUCUGGGGCAGGCGUUGUCCGGAUUUACUGGGCGUAAAGGGCGCUUAGGCGGUCCGUUAAGUCGUCAGGUGAAAUCCUCGGGCUCUACUCGAGAAUCGCCUUCGAUACUGGCAAACUAGAGUGCCGGAGAGGCAACCGGAACUCUUGGUGGAACGGUGGAAUGCGUAGAGAUCAAGAGGAACACCGGUGGCGAAGGCGGCUUUCUGGACGCACUCUGACGCUCAGGCGCGAAAGCGUGGGUAGCAGACAGGAUUAGAUACCCUGGUAGUUCACGCCAUAAACGAUGGGUACUAGGUUUCGGGGUUAUCGACCCGUCCGGUGCCGCAGUUCACGCACUAAGUACCCCGCCUGGGGA